AUUUCAUUUCAAAUCUCAAACCAAAAUUACAAUCAUACCAUCUACGACGUCGUUUUAGCGAAGAAUAACAUAAAAAUGGGUGCAAAUCAAUCACAGCGUGUUGAAGACACCGAAGACGAAGAAGACGAAGAACACGACGAAGAAGACGAAGAUGAAGAAGAAGACGAACAUUCAAGAAACAUUGUCAACAACCAUCUAAUAAACAGAACUCAAUUACUUAACAACCGCCACGUGGCAAAGAAGGUUCUAGAACAAGAACCCGAGAUCCUCCCUUGCCACGCGUCAGCUUCUCCGCUUUCUCCG
rnacentral:lncRNA from 1 species